AACGAACGCUGGCGGCAUGCCUAACACAUGCAAGUCGAACGAGACCUUCGGGUCUAGUGGCGCACGGGUGCGUAACGCGUGGGAACCUGCCCUUAGGUUCGGAAUAACUCCCCGAAAGGGGUGCUAAUACCGGAUAAUGUCUUCGGACCAAAGAUUUAUCGCCUUUGGAUGGGCCCGCGUUGGAUUAGCUAGUUGGUAGGGUAAAAGCCUACCAAGGCGACGAUCCAUAGCUGGUCUGAGAGGAUGAUCAGCCACACUGGGACUGAGACACGGCCCAGACUCCUAGGGGAGGCAGCAGUGGGGAAUAUUGGAAAAGGGGCGAAACCCUGAACCAGCAAUGCCGGGGGAGGGAUGAAGGCCUUGGGGUUGUAAAGCUCUUUUACCCGGGAUGAUAAUGACAGUACCGGGAAAAUAAGCCCCGGCUAACCCCGU
rnacentral:rRNA from 1 species